rnacentral:miRNA from 1 species
CAUCUUACUAACAGUAUUUGA